rnacentral:rRNA from 1 species
AGUUCGAUCAUGGCUCAGAUUGAACGCUGGCAGGAUGCCUUACACAUGCAAGUCGAACAGCACGGACUUCGGUCUGGUGGCGAGUGGCGAACGGGUGAGUAAUGUAUCGGAACGUGCCCAGUAGCGGGGGAUAACUACGCGAAAGCGUAGCUAAUACCACAUACGCCCUACGGGGGAAAGCAGGGGAUCGCAAGACCGCGCACUAUUGGGCGGCCGAUAUCGGAUUAGCUAGUUGGUGGGGUAACGGCUCACCAAGGCGACGAUCCGUAGCUGGUUUGAGGACGACCAGCCACACUGGGACUGAGACACGGCCCAGACUCCUGGGAGGCAGCAGUAGAAUUUUGGACAAUGGGGAAACCCUGAUCCAGCCAUCCCGCGUGUGCGAUGAAGGCCUUCGGGUUGUAAAGCACUUUUGGCAGGGAAAGAAACGUCGUGGGUUAAUACUUGCCAAGGCAACCAGUACCACCGGAAUAAGCACCGGCUAACUACGUGCCAGCAGCCGCCAGUAAUACGUAGGGUGCAAGCGUUAAAGUCGGAAUUACUGGGCGUAAAGCAUUGAGCGGUUCGGAAAGAAGAUGCUGAAAUCCAGAGCUUAACUUUGGAACUGCAUUUUUUAACCGGGCUAGAGUGUGUCAGAGGGGAGGUGAAUUCCGCGUGUAGCAGUGAAAUGCGUAGAUGCGGAGGAACACCGAUAGCGAAAACAGCCUCCUGGGAUAACACCCGGCCUUUCAUGCACGCGUAAAGUGGGGAGCAAACGGGAUUAGAUACCCUGGUAGUCCACGCCCUAAACGAUGUCAACUAGCUGUUGGGGCCUUCGGGCCUUGGUAGCGCAACUAACGCGUGAAGUUGACCGCAGGAGUACGGUCGCAAGAUUAAACUCAAAGGAAUUGACGGGGACCCGCACAAGCGGUGGAUGAUGUGGAUUAAUUCGAUGCAACGCGAAAAACCUUACCUACCCUUGACAUGUCUGGAAUGCCGAAGAGAUUUGGCAGUGCUCGCAAGAGAACCGGAACACGAGGAACUGCUGCAUGGCUGCAUAUCGUCAGCUCGUGUCGUGAAUGUUGGGUUAAGUCCGCAACGAGCGCAACCCAUGUCAUUAGUUGCUACGAAAGGGCACUCUGGCUUAGAACGCAGUGACAAACCGGAGGAAGGUAGGGAUGACGUCAAGUCCUCAUGGCCCUUAUGGGUAGGGCUUCACGUCUUACAAUGGUCGGGACAGAGGGUCGCCAACCCGCGAGGGAGUAAUCCCAGAGAAACCCGAUCGUAGUCCGGAUCGCAGUCUGCAACUCGACUGCGUGAAGUCGGAAUCGCUAGUAAUCGCGGAUCAGCAUGUCGCGGUGAAUACGUUCCCGGGUCUUGUACACACACCGCCCGUCACACCAUGGGAGUGGGUUUUACCACAGUAGUUAGCCUAACCUGAAGGCGAUUACCACAGUAGGAUUCAUGACUGGGGUGAAGUCGUAACAAAGGUAG